rnacentral:rRNA from 1 species
UGGGGGAUAUUGCACAAUGGGCGAAAGCCUGAUGCAGCGACGCCGCGUGGGGGAUGAAGGCUUUCGGGUUGUAAACCUCUUUCGCUAUCGAACAAGGCCCGCUUAGGGUGGGUUGAGGGUAGGUGGAGAAGAAGCGCCGGCUAACUACGUGCCAGCAGCCGCGGUAAUACGUAGGGCGCGAGCGUUGUCCGGAAUUAUUGGGCGUAAAGGGCUUGUAGGCGGCUUGUUGCGCCUGCUGUGAAAACGCGGGGCUUAACUUCGCGCGUGCAGUGGGUACGGGCAGGCGUGAGUGUGGUAGGGGUGACUGGAAUUCCAGGUGUAGCGGUGGAAUGCGCAGAUAUCUGGAGGAACACCGAUGGCGAAGGCAGGUCACUGGGCCAUUACUGACGCUGAGGAGCGAAAGCAUGGGGAGCAAACAGG